ACCGUGGUUACGCCAUUUCCUGCAACCGGUUCUUCCUCUUCCGGCUGCUGAUGAGUUAGAGUUGCCAUGAUAAUGCGGCCCAUGAGGCCUCGGGCCCGCGGGGCGGGCAGGAAAGGAGAGGAAAGGUUUGAGCAACAGGGUUUAAUUCGAGGAAUAAAAAUCAGAACAAUCCCUUUCAAGUUCUCUCACCAUUGGAAUUAACUCCAAGUUGGCCCAGUUAUGGAAGAAACAUUUAGUAAAAGCAAUUGCUCCUAGGAAGAGGCAGGUUCAAAUGAUUGUACAGAUGGCGAGCCAGCCAGGAGCUAACUAACCUAGUGGAUCUCUUUAAACUCCCCACUCCCUCCCUUAUUUGACCAACCUCCCUUGCUUUUAAAAGCCUCUGAAAGCCUUACCUCAAGUACUAAUUUAUCUUGCUGGUCAGAGAAAAGCCGGUCUUUUUUAAACGGCGCCAUGAUUGAAUAUUUUUUUUUCCUCAUGA